UUGACCUCGGAUCAGGUAGGGAUACCCGCUGAACUUAAGCAUAUCAAUAAGCGGAGGAAAAGAAACCAACAGGGAUUGCCUUAGUAACGGCGAGUGAAGCGGCAAUAGCUCAAAUUUGAAAGCUGGCGUCUUCGACGUCCGCGUUGUAAUUUGUAGAGGAUGCUUCGGCGAAGACUCCUGCCUAAGUCCCCUGGAACGGGGCGUCAUAGAGGGUGAGAAUCCCGUAUGUGGCGGGCAGUCUAAGCCAUGUGAAGCUCCUUCGACGAGUCGAGUUGUUUGGGAAUGCAGCUCUAAAUGGGAGGUAAAUUUCUUCUAAAGCUAAAUAUUGGCCAGAGACCGAUAGCGCACAAGUAGAGUGAUCGAAAGAUGAAAAGCACUUUGGAAAGAGAGUUAAAAAGUACGUGAAAUUGUUGAAAGGGAAGCGCUUGCAACCAGACUCGCUCGUAGUUGCUCAGCCGGCCUCUUGGCCGGUGUACUCUUCUACGAUCGGGCCAGCAUCAGUUCGGGCGGCAGGAUAAAGGUGUCGGGAAUGUAGCACCCUUCGGGGUGUGUUAUAGCCCGGCGCGGAAUGCUGCCAGCCUGGACUGAGGAUCUCGCUUCGGCAAGGAUGCUGGCGUAAUGGUUGUAAGCGGCCCGUCU
rnacentral:rRNA from 24 species